UACGUAGGGCGCAAGCGUUAUCCGGAAUUAUUGGGCGUAAAGGGCGCGUAGGCGGUUUUGUUAAGUCAGGUGUGAAAGCCCUGGGCUUAACCUAGGAAUUGCGCUUGAGACUGGAUAGCUUGGAGUGCGGCAGAGGGAGGUGGAAUUCCACGUGUAGCAGUGAAAUGACGUAGAGAUGUGGAGGAACACCGAUGGCGAAGGCAGCCUCCUGGGCCAGCACUGACGCUCAUGCACGAAAGCGUGGGGAGCAAACAGG
rnacentral:rRNA from 1 species